rnacentral:rRNA from 1 species
CAGUCGCCGCGGUAAUACGUAGGUGGCAAGCGUUGUCCGGAAUUAUUGGGCGUAAAGGGCUCGCAGGCGGUUUCUUAAGUCUGAUGUGAAAGCCCCCGGCUCAACCGGGGAGGGUCAUUGGAAACUGGGAAACUUGAGUGCAGAAGAGGAGAGUGGAAUUCCACGUGUAGCGGUGAAAUGCGUAGAGAUGUGGAGGAACACCAGUGGCGAAGGCGACUCUCUGGUCUGUAGCUGACGCUGAGGAGCGAAAGCGUGGGGAGCGAACAGGAUUAGAUACCCCUGUAGUCCCUGUCUCUUAUAC